GAGUUUGAUCGUGGCUCAGGAUGAACGCUGGCGGCGUGCCUAAUACAUGCAAGUCGAGCGAACGGACGAGAAGCUUGCUUCUCUGAUGUUAGCGGCGGACGGGUGAGUAACACGUGGGUAACCUACCUAUAAGACUGGGAUAACUCCGGGAAACCGGGGCUAAUACCGGAUAACACAUGAAACCGCAUGGUUUCAUGAUGAAAGACGGUCUUGCUGUCACUUAUAGAUGGAUCCGCGCUGCAUUAGCUAGUUGGUAAGGUAACGGCUUACCAAGGCAACGAUGCAUAGCCGACCUGAGAGGGUGAUCGGCCACACUGGAACUGAGACACGGUCCAGACUCCUACGGGAGGCAGCAGUAGGGAAUCUUCCGCAAUGGGCGAAAGCCUGACGGAGCAACGCCGCGUGAGUGAUGAAGGUCUUCGGAUCGUAAACUCUGUUAUUAGGGAAGAACAUAUGUGUAAGUACUGUGCACAUCUUGACGGUACCUAAUCAGAAGCCACGG
rnacentral:rRNA from 1 species